rnacentral:rRNA from 1 species
CCUACGGGUGGCAGCAGUGGGGAAUAUUGGACAAUGGGCGAAAGCCUGAUCCAGCCAUGCCGCGUGUGUGAAGAAGGCCUUCGGGUUGUAAAGCACUUUCAGUGGGGAAGAAAGCCUUGGGGCUAAUACCCUCGAGGAAGGACAUCACCCACAGAAGAAGCACCGGCUAACUCCGUGCCAGCAGCCGCGGUAAUACGGAGGGUGCGAGCGUUAAUCGGAAUUACUGGGCGUAAAGCGCGCGUAGGCGGUCUGAUAAGCCGGUUGUGAAAGCCCCGGGCUCAACCUGGGAACGGCAUCCGGAACUGUCAGGCUAGAGUGCAGGAGAGGAAGGUAGAAUUCCCGGUGUAGCAGUGAAAUGCGUAGAGAUCGGGAGGAAUACCAGUGGCGAAGGCGGCCUUCUGGACUGACACUGACGCUGAGGUGCGAAAGCGUGGGUAGCAAACAGGAUUAGAUACCCCAGUAGUC